AGUGAACGCUGGCGGUAGGCCUAACACAUGCAAGUCGAACGGCAGCACAGUACGAUCUUGCUCUUACGGGUGGCGAGUGGCGUACGGGUGAGGAAUACACCGGUAUCUACUCUUUCGUGGGGCAUAACGUAGGUAAACUUACGCUAAUACAGCAUACGACCUACUUGUUUAAGCAGGGGAUCUUCGUACCUUGCGCGAUUUAAUGAGCCGAGGUCGGGUUCGCUGGUUGGCUGGGUAAAGGCCCACCAAGCGGACGAACCGUACCUGGUCUGAUAGGAGGAUGAGCCAAACUGGAACUGGGACACGGUCAAGACUCCUCGGGGGGGAACAGGUGGGGAAUAUUGGACAAUGGGGGCAGGCCGGAUGCAGCAAGACCGCGGGGGUGAAGAAGGCCUUCGGGUUGUAAAGCCCUUUUGUUGGGAAAGAAAAGCAGCAGGUUAAUACCCCGCUGUUCUGACGGUACCCAAAGAAUAAGCACCGGCUAACUUCGUG
rnacentral:rRNA from 1 species